UACGAAGGGUGCAAGCGUUACUCGGAAUUACUGGGCGUAAAGCGUGCGCAGGCGGUGAUGUAAGACAGGGGUGAAAUCCCCGGGCUUAACCUGGGAACUGCAUUUGUGACUGCAUUGCUGGAGUGCGGCAGAGGGGGAUGGAAUUCCGCGUGUAGCAGUGAAAUGCGUAGAUAUGCGGAGGAACACCGAUGGCGAAGGCAAUCCCCUGGGCCUGCACUGACGCUCAUGCACGAAAGCGUGGGGAGCAAACAGG
rnacentral:rRNA from 1 species